AUUGAACGCUGGCGGCAGGCCUAACACAUGCAAGUCGAACGAGUGGCGGACGGGUGAGUAAUGUUUGGGAAACUGUCCGAUGGAGGGGGAUAACUACUGGAAACGGUAUCUAAUACCGCAUACCAUCUGAUGUGCCCAGAGGGGAUUAGCUAGUAGGUGGGGUAACGGCUCACCUGGGCGACGAUCCCUACCUGGUGUGAGAGGUUGACCCGCCACACUGGAACUGAGACACGGUCCAGACUCCUACGGGAGGCAGCAGUGGGGAAUAUUGCACAAUGGGCGAAAGCCUGAUGCAGCCAUGCCGAGUGUAUGAAGAAGGCCUUCGGGUUGUAAAGUACUUUCAGCGAGGAGGCGUUACUCGCAGAAGAAGCACCGGCUAACUCCGUGCCAGCAGCCGCGGUAAUUC
rnacentral:rRNA from 1 species